rnacentral:rRNA from 1 species
UACAGAGGGGGCAAGCGUUGUUCGGAAUUACUGGGCGUAAAGGGCGCGUAGGCGGACUGAUAAGUCAGUGGUGAAAGCCUGUUGCUUAACAACAGAACUGCCAUUGAUACUGCCAGUCUUGAGUACAGUUGAGGUAGGCGGAAUGUGUCAUGUAGUGGUGAAAUACUUAGAUAUGACACAGAACACCGAUUGCGAAGGCAGCUUGCUAAACUGUAACUGACGCUGAGGCACGAAAGCAUGGGGAGCAAACAGG